rnacentral:rRNA from 1 species
AUUGAACGCUGGCGGAAUGCUUUACACAUGCAAGUCGAACGGCAGCACGGGGCAACCUGGUGGCGAGUGGCGAACGGGUGAGUAAUACAUCGGAACGUGCCCAAUCGUGGGGGAUAACGUAGCGAAAGUUACGCUAAUACCGCAUACGAUCUACGGAUGAAAGCGGGGGAUCGCAAGACCUCGCCCGAAUGGAGCGGCCGAUGGCGGAUUAGGGAGGUGGUGGGGUAAAGGCUCACCAAGCCAACGAUCUGUAGCUGGUCUGAGAGGACGACCGGCCACACUGGGACUGAGACACGGCCCAGACUCCUACGGGAGGCAGCAGUGGGGAAUUUUGGACAAUGGGCGCAAGCCUGAUCCAGCCAUUCCGCGUGCAGGAUGAAGGCCUUCGGGUUGUAAACUGCUUUUGUACGGAACGAAACGGUUCUCUCUAAUACAGGGGGCUAAUGACGGUACCGUAAGAAUAAGCACCGGCUAACUACGUGCCAGCCGCCGCCGUAACAC